UUGACACUGCAGCACCGAUACGGAUGAUCACCCGAACAAAACCUAAUGGAUCAGUCCUUCAUUUGUGGCAGUUUAUUCUCUGCCGUUAACGAGGUUACAUCGCUACGGUCAGUUGUGUGUGGUCUAGCAGUUAAGCCAUGGAUGAUCUGAAAAAACCUCCCUGCAUCGUAGACAGUAUUAUGUCCAACUCGUAUGUGACGUCCAGCUCCAGGCCGACCUCACGAUGGAAGCGCUUUCUCAAAUCAAACUUGCUCACCUUCCUCACGGUAAUCGGUGUGUUCGGCGGCACCGUGUUUGGCCUGAUGCUGAAAAACACAGCCGAACCGUGGACGGAGCGAGAAGUGAUGUAUAUCCAGUACCCUGGAGAUCUAUUUUUACGGAUGCUUAAAUGUUUGAUCGUACCGCUGCUCGUGUCGUCCAUUACGAGUGCAAUCGGAUCGCUGGAUCUGAGCAUGUCGAAAAAGAUUGCCUUCCGGGCAAUCGUCUACUACUUCACCACCACAAUCUGUGCUGUAAUAUUAGGCAUAAUAUUAGUCACUACGAUAAGGCCCGGUUCUGGGCGCGAUGCGGGCAGCAUGAAAGGGAAAGCCACCACUAGAGAUGUCCUCACCGUCGAUACGCUUCUAGAUUUAGUUCGCAAUCUGUUCCCACCGAACAUUAUACAGGCGACAAUGUUUCAGUUCCGUACUCUUCUAGUCGCACCGGAAAAUGCAACUAAUGUUCCGUUAACACAGUACAAAAUAAAGUCCGAAUUCACCGAGGGCACCAAUGUACUCGGUCUGGUCCUGUUCAGUGUGGUGCUCGGCGCCUGCAUCGGUAAGAUGCAGGAAGCUGGCCGACCGCUGCAGGCCCUGUUCGAAACGCUCAGCGAGGCAAUGAUGAUCAUCACCUCGUGGGUCAUCUGGAUCUCACCGUUGGGUGUGUUCUUUCUUAUUGCCGCCAAGCUGCUGGAGAUGGCAUCGUUCGUUGAGGUGCUGGGAUUGCUCGGGUGGUACUUUAUAACCGUGAUGUUGGGACUGUUCCUGCAUGGAUUUGGUACGAUUCCCAUAAUUUUCUUCUUAACUACGCGAAAGCUCGCGUAUCCUUUUGUUGGCAAAAUGAGUCAGGUGUUGGCCACCGCCUUCGGUACCGGUUCCAGCUCAGCGACCAUGCCAAUCACUAUUCAGUGUCUGGAUAACAUGGGUAUCGAUCCACGAGUAACGAGAUUCGUGAUUCCGGUCGGUGCCACCAUCAAUAUGGACGGAACCGCUCUUUACGAGGCUGUUGCCGCACUGUUCAUUGCUCAAUUGAGGAAUAUUCCGCUGUCUUUUGGUCACAUAGUUGCUGUCAGUGUUACUGCUACCGCAGCUUCGAUUGGUGCCGCUGGUAUUCCGCAGGCUGGCCUGAUUACCAUGGUGAUGGUGUUGGAUACCGUUGGGCUACCGGCAGAGGAUGUUACGAUUAUUAUUGCUGUUGAUUGGUUACUUGACCGAUUCCGUACCACUAUCAAUGUUAUGUGUGACGCUCUGGGAACGAUUCUGGUGAACGCAAUCUCGAAGAAUGAUUUAUCCGCUACUCCGAACAAUAUUAAUACGCAUUAGAUUUGAGCUUUUUGUCAAUAUAUGUACUCCAUUUCGAUUCGUAGAUUUUAUAGCAACCGUGUGACGCUGAACCCCACGAACUGGUCGAACUGCGGCAGGAUUGCAACGAUAAAGAGUGAACUCCGCUACCGUACGGUGUCAAGCCCUAACCGGGUGGAUUAUCCCUCCUGAAGAAGAAGUAAACGAAAAAAAAAACCAACUAAUUCCCUGUUGUUGAAUGCAGCAAAUGUCGAAGAGCUCAAACGAAAGAAACUAUCCCCGCAACCCAUUCUACAGCAAACCGCAUGUACUCAUCAUCGUCAUCACCGCAAAGGACAGGGUGCUGUAAACCAUAAUAAUAUCGAACGUAGCUCGGUUUUUCCCCCAAGGGGACGACAGUAGCAGCAUCCCGGUCAGUGUUAUCCUCUGUUAUUUACGUUAGAUGAUGUCAAAUCAGCUAGAUGCAGAGAGUACAGCAAUGGGUUUUCUUCGUGUUUCCGAAUUGUGUCCGUUUGCUGUGUGUUGUUUAUCCCUGAUCGAGUAGUAUCGAAAAAAAAUACUAAAAGCAGAAUUCUCCGAACAUUGGAAUUCAUACGAGCUUAGGUCUAACGUAGCGUCAGUGUUAAUUAACUGUAUAGUUAAAAAUACUUACAAAUAUAUUUUAAUAGUUAACGUUUUGUACAUUGUUUUUUUUUCUCAUUUUUUUCGUGGCUUAUUUAACAACGCAACACAAAAGCGCAUUUAUUUUCAGUUCAGCUUCAGUUUUAGUGUUUAGGGAAGGUAGAAGGAAGGAAAAAAUAAACAAACUGCCAUCGUAGAAGUUUGUUUUAGUACGCUAGCACAGAAAGAAGACUAACAAACGAUUGUCGUAAGCAAGAAACAUUUUAGGCUAUGAACCAAAAAGCGUAAGCAUUAGCCACGAAAGUAAUGUACGAAAUUAACCCCCGUCUGCGUUGGGCGUUAUUAUUAGUUUCAAAGAAUGAUAAACGUAAGUUUGUUUAUGGAAAUAAAAACACGUUAUAUUCGUAACUGUUUCAUCCAAAUCCAAACUCGAGUGUACCACGAAUUGAACCAAUCUAUGCAAGUGAAAAUUUUACCAGUGAAAACACAAUAAAAUGUAUUUGAUGUUGAGACAA